rnacentral:rRNA from 1 species
CUACGGGACGCUCCAGUGAGGAAUAUUGCACAAUGGAGGAAACUCUGAUGCAGCAACGCCGCGUGGAGGAUGACGCAUUUCGGUCUGUAAACUCCUUUUAUAUGUCAAGAAAAUGACGGUAGCAUAUGAAUAAGCACCGGCUAACUCCGUGCCAGCAGCCGCGGUAAUACGGAGGGUGCAAGCGUUACUCGGAAUCACUGGGCGUAAAGGACGCGUAGGCGGGAUAUCAAGUCAGGUGUGAAAUCCUACAGCUUAACUGUAGAACUGCACUUGAAACUGGUAACCUAGAGUAUGGGAGGGGGAGAUGGAAUUAGUGGUGUAGGGGUAAAAUCCGUAGAUAUCACUAGGAAUACCUAAAGCGAAGGCGAUCUCCUGGAACAUAACUGACGCUAAGGCGUGAAAGCGUGGGGAGCAAACAGGAUUAGAUACCCGCGUAGUC